rnacentral:rRNA from 1 species
AGGGUUUGAUUAUGGCUCAGAACGUACGCUGGCGGCACGCCUAACACAUGCAAGUCGAACGAAGUAGCAAUACUUAGUGGCAGACGGGUGAGUAACAUGUAGGUAUCUACCCUUUGGCCUGGAAUAACACGAGGAAACUUGUGCUAAUACUGGAUAAGUCUUUACGGAGAAAGCUUUAUGCACCAUUGGAUGAGCCUGCACUUGAUUAGUUUGUUGGUAGGGUAAUGGCCUACCAAGACUUUGAUCAAUAGCUGAUUUGAGAGGAUGAUCAGCCACAUUGGGACUGAGACACGGCCCAAACUCCUACGGGAGGCAGCAGUGGGGAAUCUUGCACAAUGGAGGAAACUCUGAUGCAGCGAUGCCGCGUGAGUGAAGAAGGCCCUUGGGUUGUAAAGCUCUUUCGUCGGGGAAGAAAAUGACUGUACCCGAAUAAGAAGGUCCGGCUAACUUCGUGCCAGCAGCCGCGGUAAUAC